rnacentral:rRNA from 1 species
GUGGGGAAUCUUGGUCAAUGGGCGCAAGCCUGAACCAGCGACGCCGCGUGAGUGAUGAAGGCCUUCGGGUUGUAAAGCUCUGUGGGGAGAGACGAAAGAAUCGGUUCUAACAGGACCGAAGUUGACGGUAUCUCCUUAGCAAGCACCGGCUAACUCUGUGCCAGCAGCCGCGGUAAGACAGAGGGUGCAAACGUUGCUCGGAAUCACUGGGCGUAAAGGGCGUGUAGGCGGGUAGAUAAGUCGGGCGUGAAAUCCCUAGGCUCAACCUAGGAACUGCACUCGAAACUGUUUAUCUUGAGUGCCGGAGAGGAAAGCGGAAUUCCUGGUGUAGAGGUGAAAUUCGUAGAUAUCAGGAGGAACACCAGUGGCGAAGGCGGCUUUCUGGACGGUAACUGACGCUGAGACGCGAAAGCGUGGGGAGCAAACAGGAUUAGAAACCCCGGUAGUCC